UACGAAGGGGGCUAGCGUUGCUCGGAAUCACUGGGCGUAAAGCGCACGUAGGCGGCUUACUAAGUCAGGGGUGAAAUCCUGGAGCUCAACUCCAGAACUGCCUUUGAUACUGGUGAGCUUGAGUCCGGAAGAGGUGAGUGGAACUGCGAGUGUAGAGGUGAAAUUCGUAGAUAUUCGCAAGAACACCAGUGGCGAAGGCGGCUCACUGGCCCGAUACUGACGCUGAGGCACGAAAGCGUGGGGAG
rnacentral:rRNA from 1 species